AUUAAGAAAUCAUAAGAUAUAUUGAAACUAUUUUCACAUUUGCCUACUUUUCCUUUUUCUGUUUUCCUUUUAAUUAUACAAAUGCUUUAUGGAAUAACUGUCUGGAGUAGACAAGAGGAAAAGUACUAUGAACAUAAAUACAAAAAUAAAAUUCUGGUAUCCAUUAACAUUCUGUCAUAUCCCAAAAUCACUCAAAGUUUUUUCUAAAAAUACUUACUUCUAAUGAGUUCACCAUCCGAAGGAUUUCCCCAAAUGGACUGGUCUUGCAUCUCUCCAUGUGUGAAGUGGCUAUUGGUAGCUUGAGUUAUAUCUUUUAGUCUUCUGGGAGUUCAUAGUCUAUAAGGCCAGAGGCAGAAGAAGGCAGCAAUGUAGCAGCAGAACAGUCACACCAAAGAACCGACAUGACACCACAGUGGAAAAUUUCACACCUGAGCUCAUGUGACAGGUCACAUAUAUUAUUAAAAUUGCUUCUUACGGCCACCCAGAUUUUUUCCUUCUGAUAAAUUAGUCCUUGAAGAGGGUCUGAAAUUUUCUUAGUAUCACUGUGCAUGUCUUCUAUGACUGA
rnacentral:lncRNA from 1 species